GACGAACGCUGACGGCGUGCUUAACACAUGCAAGUCGAACGGAAAGGCCCUGCUUUUGUGGGGUGCUCGAGUGGCGAACGGGUGAGUAACACGUGAGUAACCUGCCCUUGACUUUGGGAUAACUUCGGGAAACUGGGGCUAAUACCGGAUAGGAGCUCCUGCUGCAUGGUGGGGGUUGGAAAGUUUCGGCGGUUGGGGAUGGACUCGCGGCUUAUCAGCUUGUUGGUGGGGUAGUGGCUUACCAAGGCUUUGACGGGUAGCCGGCCUGAGAGGGUGACCGGCCACAUUGGGACUGAGAUACGGCCCAGACUCCUACGGGAGGCAGCAGUGGGGAAUAUUGCACAAUGGGCGGAAGCCUGAUGCAGCAACGCCGCGUGCGGGAUGACGGCCUUCGGGUUGUAAACCGCUUUCGCCUGUGACGAAGCGUGAGUGACGGUAAUGGGUAAAGAAGCACCGGCUAACUACGUG
rnacentral:rRNA from 1 species